rnacentral:rRNA from 1 species
UUUAUGGAGAGUUUGAUCCUGGCUCAGGAUGAACGCUGGCGGCGUGCCUAAUACAUGCAAGUCGAGCGAACGGACGAGAAGCUUGCUUCUCUGAUGUUAGCGGCGGACGGGUGAGUAACACGUGGAUAACCUACCUAUAAGUCUGGGAUAACUUCGGGAAACCGGAGCUAAUACCGGAUAAUAUUUUGAACCGCAUGGUUCAAAAGUGAAAGACGGUCUUGCUGUCACUUAUAGAUGGAUCCGCGCUGCAUUAGC